AAAGGUGGGCUAAUACCUGAUAACGCUGUUGUUGCUUCGGGGAUACAGCCAAAGGGGGCCUCUAUUUAUAAGCUCUUACUGAAGGAUGAGUCCGCGUACCAUUAGCUAGUUGGUAGGGUAAUAGCCUACCAAGGCUACGAUGGGUAGCUAGCCUUAGAGGGCGGUUAGCCACACUGGGASKGAGACACUGCCCAGACUCCUACGGGAGGCAGCAGUGGGGAAUUUUGCGCAAUGGGCGAAAGCCUGACGCAGCAACGCCGCGUGAGUGAUGAAGGCCUUCGGGUCGUAAAGCUCUGUCAGUGGGGAAGAACCGCCGGGUGGCUAAUACCUGCCUGGUCUGACGGUACCCACAAAGGAAGCACCGGCUAACUCCGUGCCAGCAGCCGCGGUAAUACAAGGG
rnacentral:rRNA from 1 species